CUUUUUAAGGUUUUCUAUUUUUUUAAGAAAAUUAAAAAGUUAAAUCUUUAAUGACACAUAUAAACUUCUCAUUAUUAGACUUGACACGUGCCACAAUCUUAUGAGUUAGUAACUUUAAAAACUAUACUUUAUAUAAUAAGAUACUGGAUGUGGGAAAUCGUAUCUAAGAUCGUAUCUACAACGGUUACAUUGAUAUUGGUAAAGGAAAAUCGUAUCUAAUUAAGAUUUAUCUCAUAGACAGCAAACAAAAAGGGAAUUUCA
rnacentral:sRNA from 1 species